GCUGCUCAGCAGCAAAAUAUUUCAGAUCAAUAUGUAAAUACUCCAACUCUAAAACCAAGUAAAAUAAAUAUGCUGCAUAUGUGUAUAUUGCGUUCAUGUGUGUGUGUGCGCUGCGUGGUAACGUAGGCGCGUGCAUGUGUGCCCCUGUCACAGCUCCUUUCAGCAUGGCCGGAGGUAACUCACUGCCACUUUGCUCGCAGCUAAUUAAAGUUUGUUCAGAUCCCAAGCUGCAAUGUGAAUACAGCCAAACCGCCGCGUUUUUGUUUGUCAUUAAGAGACUCAUUCGGGAUAAGUUUUGUGGAGGGCGGAGUUCACUAAUAUACGCUUAUGAGUUUUAGCCGAGAACGCAGCUAAAAUGCUAGCAUGCUAAGUUAGCCUGAUUGCUAGCGGCUACUCGCGGCAGUCUUUUUUUAACAGCAUGCACUCUUUUUUCCUUCGUCAGGAGAGGUGUACUGGCAGUCGCGUGACACACACAGAUCAGACACAUAUUUCUGUGUUGCAGGUAUGGAGAUGUUCUUAUGUUUUGGAGAUGCAGUCUUUCAUUCAUUGUUUUUAUAAGUACAGUGUUGUACUGCCUGUUAGAUGGCGGUUAUUAAUAUAAUUGUACUGAAGUAUAAUGUUUGAACUAUAAGUACCAGAAUAUUGGGUCCUGGUUAUUGAAUUGUAUUUAUCUGACUGUUUAUUUGUUUUUGAAUUAUUUUGUUUAUUGUUCUUAUAAGUUGUUUUUGAUGUUUUUUCAGUGACAUAUUAUUUAUUUUGUGCUUUUUGUUUUUGAGAGCUUAAGUUAAUGUUUUAAAACAAUUUGUUGUAUUUGAUUCAUUAUAUUAUUGUAGUGUUAAUGAAGCUGCAGACACAGCUGCUUUCAGCAUGGCCGGAGGAGAGGUGUACUGGCAGUCGCGUGACACACACAGAUCAGACACAUAUUUCUGUGUUGCAGAUGUGCAGUAAAGAGCCAAAGACCCAGUACUGUCUCCUGCCUCUUACUUUCACGCCAGAACACAACGCAAGAACAACAGGCGUAACACAUGAACGGGUUACACAUACUGAGGCCUCCUCCUGUUUCACUGCCAUAUAUCCACCACCAGAGGGCUCCACUGACCUGCCUGCUGACAUCACAGCACACCCCUGUGUCAUGUGACCUGGCAGGAGUAGCAAAGCUGGACUCAGACCUGGCCCAGGCAAGUUCAAAGGCAG
ensembl:lncRNA